rnacentral:rRNA from 1 species
UACGGGGGGGGCAAGCGUUGUUCGGAAUUACUGGGCGUAAAGGGCUCGUAGGUGGCCAACUAAGUCAGACGUGAAAUCCCUCGGCUCAACCGAGGAACUGCGUCUGAUACUGGUUGGCUUGAAUUCGGGAGAGGGAUGCGGAAUUCCAGGUGUAGCGGUGAAAUGCGUAGAUAUCUGGAGGAACACCGGUGGCGAAGGCGGCAUCCUGGACCGAGAUUGACGCUGAUGCGCGAAAGCCAGGGGAGCAAACGGG